GUAGCCAGCCCAGCUGGUUAGCGGCAGGCCUUAUAUCCAUGAGGUCAUGGGAUCAAAUCCCAUCUGCCCAUA
rnacentral:tRNA from 1 species